rnacentral:rRNA from 1 species
UACGAAGGGUGCAAGCGUUACUCGGAAUUACUGGGCGUAAAGGGUGCGUAGGUGGUUGUUUAAGUCUGUUGUGAAAGCCCCGGGCUCAACCUGGGAAUGGCAAUGGAUACUGGACAGCUAGAGUGCGGUAGAGGGUAGUGGAAUUCCCGGUGUAGCAGUGAAAUGCGUAGAUAUCUGGAGGAACACCGGUGGCGAAGGCGGCAUCCUGGACCGACACUGACGCUGAGGAGCGAAAGCCAGGGGAGCAAACGGG